rnacentral:rRNA from 1 species
AUUGAACGCUGGCGGAAUGCUUUACACAUGCAAGUCGAACGGCAGCACGGACUUCGGUCUGGUGGCGAGUGGCGAACGGGUGAGUAAUGUAUCGGAACGUGCCCAGUCGUGGGGGAUAACGUAGUGAAAAUUACGCUAAUACCGCAUACGAUCUAUGGAUGAAAGCGGGGGAUCGCAAGACCUCGCGCGAUUGGAGCGGCCGAUAUCAGAUUAGGUAGUUGGUGGGGUAAAGGCCCACCAAGCCAACGAUCUGUAGCUGGUCUGAGAGGACGACCAGCCACACGGGAACUGAGACACGGUCCAGACUCCUACGGGAGGCAGCAGUGGGGAAUUUUGUACAAUGGGCGAAAGCCUGAUCCAGCCAUGCCGCGUGCAGGAUGAAGGCCCUCGGGUUGUAAACUGCUUUUGUACAGAACGAAAAGGUUUCUACUAAUACUAGGAGCUCAUGACGGUACUGUAAGAAUAAGCACCGGCUAACUACGUGCCAGCAGCCGCGGUAA